rnacentral:rRNA from 1 species
GGGAAUAUUGGACAAUGGGCGAAAGCCUGAUCCAGCAAUGCCGCGUGUGUGAAGAAGGCCUUCGGGUUGUAAAGCACUUUAGGAUGGAAAGAAAAAACUUUAGUUAAUAGCUGAAGUCUUGACGGUACCAUCAGAAUAAGCACCGGCUAACUCUGUGCCAGCAGCCGCGGUAAUACAGAGGGUGCAAGCGUUAAUCGGAUUUACUGGGCGUAAAGCGUGUGUAGGUGGUGGCGUAAGUCGAUUGUGAAAUCCCCGGGCUCAACCUGGGAACUGCUUUCGAUACUGCGUCACUAGAGUACGGUAGAGGGUGGUGGAAUUUCCGGUGUAGCGGUGAAAUGCGUAGAUAUCGGAAGGAACACCAGUGGCGAAGGCGACUUCCUG